CGUGAGUGAUGAAGGCCUUCGGGUCGUAAAGCUCUGUCAGAGGGGAAGAAGGGAUUGAUGGCUAAUAUCCAUUGAUUUUUGACGGUACCCUCAGAGGAAGCACCGGCUAACUCCGUGCCAGCAGCCGCGGUAAUACGGAGGGUGCAAGCGUUGUUCGGAAUUACUGGGCGUAAAGGGCGCGUAGGCGGCCGUUUAAGUCAGAUGUGAAAUCCCUCGGCUUAACCGAGGAACUGCAUUUGAAACUGGACGGCUUGAGUACGGGAGAGGGAAGUGGAAUUCCUGGUGUAGAGGUGAAAUUCGUAGAUAUCAGGAGGAACACCGGUGGCGAAGGCGGCUUCCUGGACCGAUACUGACGCUGAGGCGCGAAAGCGUGGGUAGCAAACAGGAUUAGAUACCCUGGUAGUCCACGCCGUAAACGAUGAGUACUAGGUGUUGUGGGUAUUGACCCCUACGGUGCCGUAGCUAACGCAUUAA
rnacentral:rRNA from 1 species